UGCUGAGAAUAAUGUUUUCAUGUUACUUUUUAACCUUGGUGACCAUUCAAGUGGUAAGAUAAUAAAUAAAUAAUAAGCCCUGUGAAAGGAAAAGCAAUUUCUGUGCUGUCUGAAUAGUCUGCAUUUCGUCAUGCAAUCUCGGAGAUUAAACAUAAUUUAUGGAAGAUAGUUAUCAAAAAUGUCUAAUUAGUUGCCCAUACUGUUCAACUUGCUACCAUUUCUACACACUUAGUGCAAAAUGGUAAAACUUCUUUCUCCAUAUAUUGUAACUGUUUAUGGAAAUGCUACGUCAUGCGGCUACGGAAAAUUGGGACAGCUAUAUAAAAAUAAAAAAAAAGUAGUAACUCGCAGCGGGUCAUUUGAUGUCACUUCCACACCUAAAGAGCACUCCGCGCGCAAUGGCGCUCGUGCAUGACCGAGUUCCCAGUUUCAACCACGGCGACCAUUGUGGCGGUGUUGCAGAACAGGAAUUUCAAAUACCGUGUUUGAACGAAGAAGUAAAGCGUGAAGAAACGCGUCAGAAGCGCGCGCUGAGGACGCGUGACGGGGACAAGGAAGGUGGAAGUGAUGUAGCGUGACGAACAGAGCGCCCGCACACCUGUGGGCUUCCUCGCGCCCUCCUGGAGACAGGAUCGCGAACGCUGAAAGGGCGGUGGGCGGAGCAACGCCGCUCGCGAGCGCCUCGUUCUUCUUCUGUUCGCGAGACGCCGAAGAAGAGGGAUGGCAGCCUGAGGAGAGAGCGCGAGCGAAAGAUCCACCCGGGGACGCGCUCCGCCGAUGGAGACGGGCACGGGGACGGAGACCGGCGGCACGGAGAUGGAGGAAGCGGAGGACGGAAGGACGAAGAGCCGCCAGUGGCGCUCCAAGGCCAGAGAGCAGGUCCACCUGAAGCAGAAGAUCCGCGAGCUGCCGGCGCUGCUCAAGCACGGGCUCACUCUGAGGAAGAGGAGUGUGGAGAACUCAGAAUCCAUUGAAGAUGCAAGUGCGUCCUUUGAUAAACAUAAGGGAUGUUCGGACAGCUUACCCUGUGCUGGGCGGGCUUUGAGGAACGCCUUCCUGUCACAUGGACCCUAUCCUGUUAAAGAUAGAGUCCAGUUUGCAAGGAUCCUCAGGUAACUCCUUCAUGUUUUUGAUGUUUUUGCAUCAGUAUUGAGGGGUGGGGUCAGUCAUACCUUGUCUACCUUGGUGACCUUCCUUUGUGUGGAAUCAGAGACCCAAGUUUGUUUUUUAAAGCAAUCAGCUGGUAUCGCAACAGAAUCUUCUCUUCUAAAUUACCGUAUUAUUUUAAGCAGCUUGUUAUACAAACCUGAUAAAGUUCCAUGGUAAAGAAGUGUUAGUAAUGUAAUAAUAAUCAUCCAUCUCCUUAAGUCUAUAGUCAUUUCAUUUGAAUAUGCAGUGUAGUUGGGGCCUAUAUAACCUAGAUACUGUGACGAUCCAAAGCAGAGGUAGGCCCUUGUUCAGUAACCCCCAUAAAAUAAAAACAUUUCCUGGGUG
rnacentral:lncRNA from 1 species